CUCGUAGGCGGCCAACUAAGUCAUACGUGAAAUCCCUCGGCUUAACCGGGGAACUGCGUCUGAUACUGGAUGGCUUGAGAUUGGGAGAGGGAUGCGGAAUUCCAGGUGUAGCGGUGAAAUGCGUAGAUAUCUGGAGGAACACCGGUGGCGAAGGCGGCAUCCUGGACCAACACUGACGCUGAGGAGCGAAAAGCCAGGGGAAGGACGAAACG
rnacentral:rRNA from 1 species